rnacentral:lncRNA from 10 species
CUAGGCCUAUCAUUAAAAAGUACUGCAGACUGGGUGGCUUCAAAAACAGAUAUCUAUUUUCUCACAGUUUUGGAGGCUAGAAGUCGGAGGUCAAGGUGUUAGCAAGAAACAAAAUAUGAGUGGCGUGAUGGACAUUGGAGGCACUCUCCAGUUUUACCUUUGAGGAUAAAUUAAUCCAACUGCUGGGAAUGUGCUCAGAAGAUAGACUGCAGCUGUCAUCCUUUCAGGGAUUGCCUCAUCAGAGAGUCAAGGUCUUCCUCAGAUGACUCACCUGCAAUGACUGAGAGGAGUUACGAAGCUCUGACCAUCCUGACUCCACUCAGGAAAACUGCUCACUUAAGCUCCAAACUCCUCAUUGUCAUUGGCCAGUGCUGUUGUCAGGACCGAAUCACAGGUUAGUUUCCCUCUCUGGCUACACCUGCUCUUUUCAUCCCUUCUGCAGCGACAGAUCCCAAAGACACUGUCAUUCAAAUGUCUUGCUUCUUAACCUCUGCCUUAGAGUGUGCUUUCUAGAAAAGCCAACCUGUGGCAAGGGUUAUGAUCCACAGAAAGAGGAAGUUAUUUUGGUUUUGGAGAUGUCUACUGGGAAGGUAAGAAUAAUAGCCUGGAGAUAGAAAGGAAAUUAUGCCUGUAAAAUUUGGUUCAUCUUAGGUAGAAAAUGAAGGGAUGAGAAUGAGUGAGAUAAAAAGACAGUACAAACAGCUGAAUAAAAGAACUUGGUUAAAAUAGGAAUCUUGGAAACAUGAACAUUUAAAAUAGAGGAAGAGAAAGAGCUCUCCCAAAAGAACAAGGAUGAGCAUUAGAGGGCAGCUUCAAGAGAUUCUGAAAAAGCAAAGGAAGAGAAAGACCAAAGCAGUGGCAAGCCACGUCUCAUUCAUUCAUUCAAUCAUAUUAAUUACAUUUAGCACUCAAUACCUCCUGAACACUUCAAUGAGAUAUAAAAUCAAAUAGUACAUAGAAAUUAUUUUAAUGUAUUUACAAUCUUAUUGGUGUCUAGUUAAGAUGACUCAACAGAGGGAUACACUGGGGGCUACUAGGAUAAGAAAAGCUAACAUUUUACAAUUAAACUGAGGGGUUCAUGGGAAGAUCUCUAAAUUUUUUAAGAAGCAAAUUUUGAAGUAGGAGAUUUCAAGAUACGAUUGUGAAAAGGGUCAAUGGCAAGAUCUCUAGGUAGACACUAUCCCCAUACAAAUAUCAUAAUAUUGAAGAGGGGAAGUGAAAAGGAGGAAGAGGAACUAUGGCCUCAGAGUCAAGAAGGACUAAAGAGCUAAUUUAGUGAAAUUAUGGACUGGGACAGUAAAAUUUUUCCUGGAGUUCCAGUUGCUAGCCUGAAAAUUGUUUUCUUCAGUCGUUAUCAGUCAUAUCAAUUACAUAAUUCAGAUUAGUCAAAACCGCAUAGGACUCAUAUUCUUGCCUCUGUAAAAUUAUUUUAGGAAAUCACCUAACUAAGAGAGUGGAACUUGAAAUAAAAAGCGUAACAGUUGAAGCCGAUUUGACCACAGUGAUUAUUUGAAUUUUUAAAUUGACAACAUUUUCAAGAAAUGGCAAUAGUCGCUACGGUAAAACUUUAACAUUUUAUUUUUCCAAAACUACAGGCUAUAUUUUAUAAAAGAAAAUGUAAUUUGUUCAUCCAUUUAGAAUAUGUCCUAAUAUUUUUUAUCAGUGUUAGGAGUUAUGAGAUAUAAAUUCUGAUUAAUGGCUAUUCAUUACCUUCUACCUAAUAAUAAAGGCAAAGUGCAUUUAUUUUCCAGGGCCAUAUUAAUUUUAGUACUACUAAAAUAUUUUAUUCUAAAACGUUAGGAAUAAAUUGACGAGUUCCCCAUAACAUUCUAAAAGUAUAUGUUGUGAGUGAAAGCAUAAAGCCCUUGCCAAAAAGAAAUUCCUAAUGACAAUUUUAACCUUUUCUUUGUUCACUGUGCAUGAUGAAUAUAUUACGCCUU